UACGUAGGGUGCAAGCGUUGUCCGGAAUUAUUGGGCGUAAAGAGCUCGUAGGCGGUUCGUCGCGUCGGCUGUGAAAUCCCGAGGCUCAACCUCGGGUCUGCAGUCGAUACGGGCGGACUGGAGUACUGCAGGGGAGACUGGAAUUCCUGGUGUAGCGGUGAAAUGCGCAGAUAUCAGGAGGAACACCGGGUGGCGAAGGCGGGUCUCUGGGCGAGUAACUGACGCUGGAGGAGCGAAAGCGUGGGGAGCGAACAGG
rnacentral:rRNA from 1 species